rnacentral:rRNA from 1 species
ACGAACGCUGGCGGCGUGCUUCACACAUGCAAGUCGAACGGUGAAGCGCCUUCCUUUUUGGUGGGUGUGGAUGAGUGGCGAACGGGUGAGUAACACGUGAGUAACCUGCCCCCUUCUUCUGGAUAACCGCAUGAAAGUGUGGCUAAUACGGGAUAUUCUGGGUCUGUCGCAUGAUGGGUCUGGGAAAGAUAUUGUUUCGGUGGGGGAUGGGCUCGCGGCCCAUCAGCUUGUUGGUGGGGUGAUGGCCUACCAAGGCGGUGACGGGUAGCCGGCCUGAGAGGGUGGACGGUCACACUGGGACUGAGACACGGCCCAGACGCCUACGGGAGGCAGCAGUGGGGAAUAUUGCACAAUGGGCGCAAGCCUGAUGCAGCGACGCCGCGUGAGGGAUGGAGGCCUUCGGGUUGUGAACCUCUUUCGCCAGUGAAGCAGGCCUGCCUCGUUUGUGGGUGGGUUGACGGUAGCUGGAUAAGAAGCGCCGGCUAACUACGU